rnacentral:rRNA from 1 species
UACGUAGGGGCGCAAGCGUUUGUCCGGAAUUAUUGGGCGUAAAGAGCUCGUAGGCGGCUUGUCACGUCGGUUGUGAAAGCCCGGGGCUUAACCCCCGGGUCUGCAGUCGAUACGGGCUAGCUAGAGUGUGGUAGGGGAGAUCGAAUUCCUGGUGUAGCGGUGAAAUGCGCAGAUAUCAGGAGGAACACCGGUGGCGAAAAGCGGAUCUCUGGGCCAUUACUGACGCUGAGGAGCGAAAAGCGUGGGGGGAGCGAACAGG